rnacentral:rRNA from 1 species
UACGAACUGUGCGAACGUUAUUCGGAAUCACUGGGCUUACAGGGUGCGUAGGCGGCCUGUUAAGUCGGGUGUGAAAUCCCCCGGCCCAACCGGGGAAUGGCGCUCUAAACUAGCAGGCUUGAGUGAGGUAGGGGUGCACGGAACUUCCAGUGGAGCGGUGAAAUGUGUUGAUAUUGGAAGGAACACCGGAGGCGAAAGCGGUGCACUGGGGCUUAACUGACGCUGAGGCACGAAAGCCAGGGGAGCGAACGGG